rnacentral:lncRNA from 1 species
AGAUCAAAAUACCUUUCCAAAUGUGGCAAAGGUGGCGAAUGCGACAAUAUGCCGUCGUUGGCGAUGACGAUGACGAUAUGCCGGUGCCAAUGUAUAAAUGUAAAUGAGAAAAUACUAAAAAAUAGAUAUACUAAAAUAGUAUAAAAGCAUAUUAAAAAAAAUUCAGUUUAGAUCAAAAUGCCUCUCCAAAUGUGGCAAAGGUGGCGAAGGCGACAACAUGCCGGUGUCGGCGAUGACGAUGACGAUAUGCCGGUGCUAGCGACGGGGACUAAUGAGAAAGGAUAUUAGUAAAAAAAAUAUUUGACAAUAUUUGAAAAAAAUACAGGUGAAAAUGAAAAAAGAUAUUACUAAAAAUAAUAUACUGAUGAUUUGCGCAAUUAAUGUGAGAGAUAAAAAGUCAUGAAGAUGCACACUUAUUAGCAUUUAAAAAUCUUAAAAAGUAAAACAAAGUAUACGAAAGACGAAUUGGGUAGGAAAUUAUAUUAUGACACAUUAAAAUGAAUUAGGUGUAGCAAAAUACCUUUCUAACUGUGGCGAAGGUGAUCGAGAACGACGAUGAGGAAUGAAUAAAAUAUUACUAAAAUAAUAUAUUUGAGAAAACAUAUAGUGAAAAUGAAAAAGGUUAUAUUUUAUUAUAUUUAAGAAACGUAUAGAUAGAGAUGAGAAAGUAUUAAAAUAAGAUAUAUUUUAUGUAUGGAUAAGUAUUAUGAUGAGAUAAAA